rnacentral:tRNA from 2 species
GGUCCAAUAGCUCAGAGGAUAGAGCGGCCGCCUCCUAAGCGGCAGGUCGGCCGUUCGAUUCGGCCUUGGAUCA